GAUGAACGCUGGCGGCGUGCCUAACACGUGCAAGUCGAACGAAGCACCUUACCUGAUUCUUCGGAUGAAAGUUUGUUGCCUGAGUGGCGGACGGGUGAUUAACGCGUGGGUAACCUGCCCUGUACAGGGUGAUAACAGCUUGAAACGGCUGCUAAUACCGCAUACGCGCACGCUUAGACAUCUCCUUUUGUGAAAAACUCCGGUGGUACAGUAGGGGCCCGCGUCUGAUUAGCUGGUUGGCAGGGUAACGGGCUACCAAGGCAACGAUCAGUAGCCGGUGUGAGGGGAAGAACGGCGACAUUGGAACGGAGACACGGUAGAAAAUCCUACGGGAGGGAGCAGUGGGGAAUAUUGCAAAAUGGGGGAAACGCAGAAGGAGCAACGCCGGGUGAGUGAAGAAGUAAGUCGGUAUGGAAAGCGAUAUAAGCAGGGAAGAUAAUGACGGUACCUGACUAAGAAGCUACGGCUAAAUACGUG
rnacentral:rRNA from 1 species